GAUGAACGCUGGCGGCGUGCCUAAUACAUGCAAGUCGAGCGAACAGACGAGGAGCUUGCUCCUCUGACGUUGGCGGCGGACGGGUGAGUAACACGUGGAUAACCUACCUAUAAGACUGGGAUAACUUCGGGAAACCGGAGCUAAUACCGGAUAAUAUAUUGAACCGCAUGGUUCAAUAUUGAAAGACGGUUUUGCUGUCACUUAUAGAUGGAUCCGCGCCGCAUUAGCUAGUUGGUAAGGUAACGGCUUACCAAGGCAACGAUGCGUAGCCGACCUGAGAGGGUGAUCGGCCACACUGGAACUGAGACACGGUCCAGACUCCUACGGGAGGCAGCAGUAGGGAAUCUUCCGCAAUGGGCGAAAGCUUGACGGAGCAACGCCGCGUGAGUGAUGAAGGUCUUCGGAUCGUAAAACUCUGUUAUUAGGGAAGAACAAAUGUGUAAGUAACUAUGCACGUCUUGACGGUACCUAAUCAGAAAGCCACGGCUAACUACGUG
rnacentral:rRNA from 1 species